UACAGAGGUGGCAAGCGUUGUUCGGAAUUACUGGGCGUAAAGGGCGCGUAGGCGGCCUACUAAGUCAGACGUGAAAGCCCUCGGCUUAACCGGGGAACUGCGUCUGAUACUGGAUGGCUUGAGUUCGGGAGAGGGAUGCGGAAUUCCAGGUGUAGCGGUGAAAUGCGUAGAUAUCUGGAGGAACACCGGUGGCGAAGGCGGCAUCCUGGACCGAUACUGACGCUGAGGAGCGAAAGCCAGGGGAGCAACGGG
rnacentral:rRNA from 1 species